AGGUCAAAACUACCAUCCAAAACCCUACACGCCCUCCCACCCUUCUUUCCCUUUCCUCCUCUUCUUCUUUUUCUUCUUUCCUUCUCUGCCUUUCAGUUUUCCAAAAAUAACUUCACAUUCAAAUUCAAAAUUCAAAUUCAACUUAUUCUCAAAAUCCUAUCUCUCUCUUACACUGCACACUUUCCUCUUUCCUUUCUAUUGCUUCAAAUUCAGCCAAACUCCUAUCCCAAUCAUCUUCUGUAUGGCGAACCUAUACGAUCGAUCAGGUAAACAACCGUUCGAUCAUUUGUGUUCUUCCUUCAACAACGACUGGAAACCUUUCGACGAACACUGGCGACGGUGCCGGAAUACUCUCCUGUCUCUCACAUGACUUCUACAAGCAGGUGAUUGUUGGACAAAUUUGGGACAAAAAGUUCAGUGAAGGACAAAAUUUUUUAGCGGUUUGAUAAGGUGAACCUUGGAAAUUAAUUGGAAAUAUUUGUCUUCAACAUUACUGGUUAAAAGGGUGGGAAAGUGAUAUGUUUGUGCUGCAAACAACCUCACAAGAGCAGCUAAUAGCAGUUGUUUUUAGUUGCUCAGUGAUGACUGAUGUUGGUUGCUUCUUUUUAUAUACCAGUUAAUUGUCAUUUAGGAGUUGUUAGCCUCACGACAACAGUAUUUCUUUUCAAAGUGUUGGUUGAUGGAUGGCUAGGCUUUUGAGCAGUUGUGCGGCGGCAGUAUGGAGUUGGUAUAAGGUAUGAUUUCUCAAGGUUGUCCCCCUUUGUUGGUAGCCUGUGUUGUUAAUUUAUAUCAAAGUAUAUUUGUAAAACCACUUCACUCGAAAGGACAAUCAUGUCUCCGACGAACCUGGGGUUUCAUGAAAGGGGCGACGAUGCCAUGGGCUAAGAAGUCUGUUUGCAUACUCAUGUUGAAUAGUUAUUUAGGGUUUUUUUCUUUCUAUUUGUGAAAAAAUAAGUUAUAAUACGAUUGCAGGGCUCACUAGGUUGAACAGAGGUUGUGAUUCAACACUGCCAGCUGCCACACAAAAUUUCUUAGUUGGUGCUCAUAGAUAAGAUCGACAAGAGUAGCCUUGCCUUGAAGAGCUUACAUCUAGAUGAUGGCAUCGAAGCUACAUCUCUCUAGGAUCACCCUACUUCCUCCAAAACCAGUGAGCUAUAUUUGUUAAUCACUUUUUGUAUUCAAUUUUAGUGAUCAUAAGUAAAUGAAAUUAGUUUCGCUAGCUUUUAUUCGUUGAUGAACUUUUCAGGCGUUUUAGGCUAAAUUGACAAUCUGAUUCAUACAUAGUUGUAGUUCUAUUGAACAAUAAAUAAGUUUAUUUGCAUCCAUUGAUUUAGUUAUUGAAAUAAUUAUAUGGAGUUUCAUGAUUGUGACGCAGUUUACUUCUAAAGUCAAAGGUAAUAUUUGUUAGUUGCAACGCUCUGGGCAAAGGUAAGCGUUUUUUACGCAAAUUUUUAGUGGUUAACUGGUUAUACAAUGUAUAUUUCUAAAUAUGGACAUGUUCGGGUCGAGAUGGGUUCGGUUCAGAUUGGGUCCCGAUCAGAGUUUGCUAUGGUCCAAAGAGGUUGGGUCAUUACAGGUUUGUGUCAUAACGAAUCGAAAAAGGGGUUAUUUUUUCGGGUCGGUAGUGGUUUCGGGUUGAUUCGGGUUUAAGUGUCGAUGAGGUUCAAGUCAGAAUGGGUUUUGGUCGGAUUUGAUGAUGGGUUCUCAUGGUUUCGGGUCAUUAC